AGAAUCAACGCUGGCGGCGUGCCUAACACAUGCAAGUCGAACGAGAAAGUGGAGCAAUCCAUGAGUAAAGUGGCGACCGGGUGAGUAACACGUGACUAACCUACCCUCGAGUGGGGAAUAACUCCGGGAAACCGGGGCUAAUACCGCAUAACAUCUUCGGAACGCGAGUUCUGUUGAUCAAAGGAGCAAUUCGCUUGAGGAGGGAGUCGCGGCUGAUUAGCUAGUUGGCGGGGUAAUGGCCCACCAAGGCUUAGAUCGGUAGCCGGCCUGAGAGGGCGCACGGCCACACUGGAACUGAAACACGGUCCAGACUCCUACGGGAGGCAGCAGUGGGGAAUUUUGCGCAAUGGGGGAAACCCUGACGCAGCAACGCCGCGUGGAGGAUGAAGUCCCUUGGGAUGUAAGCUCCUUUCGACCGGGAAGAUACUGACGGUACCGGUGGAAGAAGCACCGGCUAACUCUGUGCCAGCAGCCGC
rnacentral:rRNA from 1 species